rnacentral:rRNA from 1 species
GACGAACGCUGGCGGCGUGCUUAACACAUGCAAGUCGAACGGAAAGGCCCUGCUUUUGUGGGGUGCUCGAGUGGCGAACGGGUGAGUAACACGUGAGUAACCUGCCCUUGACUUUGGGAUAACUUCAGGAAACUGGGGCUAAUACCGGAUAGGAGCUCCUGCUGCAUGGUGGGGGUUGGAAAGUUUCGGCGGUUGGGGAUGGACUCGCGGCUUAUCAGCUUGCUGGUGGGGUAGUGGCUUACCAAGGCUUUGACGGGUAGCCGGCCUGAGAGGGUGACCGGCCACAUUGGGACUGAGGUACGGCCCAGACUCCUACGGGAGGCAGCAGUGGGGAAUAUUGCACAAUGAGCGGAAGCCUGAUGCAGCAACGCCGCGUGCGUGAUGACGGCCUUCGGGGUGUAAACCGCUUUCGCCUGUGACGAAGCGUGAGUGACGGUAAUGGGUAAAGAAGCACCGGCUAACUACGUG